rnacentral:rRNA from 1 species
CCAGCCUCCAAUAGCGUAUAUUAAAGUUGUUGCAGUUAAAAAGCUCGUAGUUGGAUUCUGACACCUAGGGGGGCCGUCCGCCGGGAGGCGUGCAUGGCUUCUCUGGGUUCCGCUUCCGGCUGGUCCUACCUCCUCUUAACUGAGUGGGUAGGCGCCUCCGGAUCGUUUACUUUGAAAAAAUUAGAGUGUUUAAAGCAGGCCUUGUGCCCUGAAUAUAUUAGCAUGGGAUAAUGGAAUAGGACCCCUGUCCUGCCGUUGGCUUUGAGGUCAGGGGUAAUGAUUAAUAGCGACAGUUGGGGGUGUUCAUAUUUAAUUGUCAGAGGUGAAAUUCUUGGAUUUAUGAAAGAUGAACAACAGCGAAAGCAUUCACCACGGACGCUCGCAUUAAUCAAGAACGAAAGUUAAGGGAUCGAAGACGAUCAGAUACCGUCGUAGUCUUAACUAUAAACGAUGCCGACCAGGGAUCUGGGGUCGUCCUAUGGAUGACUCCCCAGGCACCUUAGGGGAAACCAUAAGUCUUUGGGUUCCGGGGGGAGUAGGUCGCAAGGCUAAACUUAAAGGAAUGAC